rnacentral:rRNA from 1 species
UACGUAGGGUGCGAGCGUUAUCCGGAAUUAUUGGGCGUAAAGCGAUCACAGGUGGACAAGUAGGUCCGGUGUUAAAUACCCACGGCUUAACCGGGGAACUGCGUCCGAUACUGGAUGGCUAGAGUUCGGGAGAGGGAUGCGGAAUUCCAGGUGUAGCGGUGAAAUGCGUAGAUAUCUGGAGGAACACCGGUGGCGAAGGCGGCAUCCUGGACCGACACUGACGCUGAGGAGCGAAAGCCAGGGGAGCAAACGGG